rnacentral:rRNA from 1 species
UGGGGAAUAUUGGGCAAUGGGCGCAAGCCUGACCCAGCAACGCCGCGUGAAGGAAGAAGGCUUUCGGGUUGUAAACUUCUUUUAAGAGGGACGAAGGACGUGACGGUACCUCUUGAAUAAGCCACGGCUAACUACGUGCCAGCAGCCGCGGUAAUACGUAGGUGGCAAGCGUUAUCCGGAUUUAUUGGGUGUAAAGGGCGUGUAGGCGGGAGUGCAAGUCAGAUGUGAAAAUCUAUGGGCUCAACCCAUAGCCUGCAUUUGAAACUGUACUUCUUGAGUGCUGGAGAGGCAAUCGGAAUUCCGUGUGUAGCGGUGAAAUGCGUAGAUAUACGGAGGAAUACCAGUGGCGAAGGCGGAUUGCUGGACAGUAACUGACGCUGAGGCGCGAAAGCGUGGGGAAGCAAACAGGAUUAGAUACC